rnacentral:lncRNA from 1 species
GUUCUGUCACAUUCGAGAGGACCCACUUAGAUAGUUUUCCAUUGGGUAAAUUACAUUUUAUACCCUUAUAUUUUUAAAGGAAAAUGCUAUUGACAGCCCUUAGGGCAGUCAACAGUGUAUAAAAAAAUGUAAAAAACGUAUAAAAUAUAUAAUGAAAAGUAUAAAAAAUGCAUUGAAAACUAAUUUUUUCUGUCAUUCUAUGCUCCUUAUUGAUCGCCCAUUAGAAGGACUCAUUUUUAAAUAAAUUCUACUCUACACCCUUUUAUGCUUUUAGAGGAAGUCUCAAUGAUGCAUUCGUCUACUUCCAAUUCAAUUAAAACCCAGUAUACCACGAGGCCUCUUUCAAUUAGGCAUAUGGUCUUUUUUUGACACUUAAUUGAAUAAUAUCGGUGUUUGUUAUUACUUUUGCUUUUUUCUGUAUUACCGUGUUGUUUGGAGUAAUUUUUUUUUUGUAUUUUUUGGAGAUUUUAGCCAAGUUAUUUAUUUAUUUUUUAAAUUUGUUUUUUUUUGUAAGUUUAAUUUUAUGUGUUUGAUGUAGGUUUACCGAAAAUAAUAAUUAUUUUUUUUAGAUACCCCAAACAACAAACUUAAUUUUUUUUGUUCCACUUUACCUAGAAAAAAUAAAAAUAAAAUUAAAAUAUCUUAGUUUUUUUAGCUACCACAAAUAGGGCCUAAGUUGUGCUAGUGUUAUUCAACGUUUGUUUCUGCUUAAGAAAAAAAUAAAUAAAAUUUUUAUAAAAAGUUUUAUUUUUAUAUUUUUUAACUUUUAUUUUUGAAUAAAAUAUAAAGUUCAGCUACAUCGAACUCCCACGUGAAAUGGAUAAAAUGGUUACAUUGACAACUGACCUGCAGCAAAAGGUAUCGACUGAUACAAUUAAAAGAUAAGGGGGUAAUUGUAAUUUCUAAGAUCGACCAAUUGUUAAAACGAAUAGGACGGUCACAAUACCAUCAUUUAUGAAAGCUCCUUGCUCUCACCAACCCCUCUUUGAUUGUGGGCCCAAACAUUAUCCGGGCUUUCAAUGGUGGGCCCAUUCACAAUCUACUGAUAUGAAUGUGAAAGUAUCGGAAGCAAUGAAUAGGGCCUUUUCAUAUCUCUCUCUCCCUCUCUCUUUUAGCCUCAAUUAUUGGUUGGCUCGCACUUAAAGACAAUUAUUUAAUUGAUUCCGACUUGCGUAGGCAAAUCGAAAGGGUAAAAAUGAAAAUAUAAUAAUUAAAAAAAUACUAAUUUAUAUUAUAAAAUAAAAUUUAUUUUUAAUUUUAAAAUUAUUUUUCAUUAUAUAUCGUUAAAAUUCAUUUGAGUUAAUUUAAUGACUAAGAUUUUAUUUGAGAUUAUUUUUAUUCUAAAAAAAUAUCACUUUUUUUUUCUUAAAGGUGUGAGACUCAUAUAAAUUCUUAUCCAAUGAAAAAAAAAAAAUUUAAUUUGUAUAUAUUUUUUGAGAAGUGAUAGGUACACACACCCAAAAGUGGGUGUUGAUACGACACACUAUUUUGCCCUCUCACAAAAAUAAGUGGGAUCAAGCAACUAAUUAGGGUUUUCACGUUUUUUUAAAAACUCCUCCUAAUUAUGGCGGAUCCACCUUAUGUAGAUGAGGGCCAAAUGGAUGUGUCGAUGACACACCUACUUUGGGUGUGUACCAAUCAUUAUUCAUAUUUGUUUAUCUAUUAGAUUCAUUUUUAGUGGACUCACAACAAAAAAAUCAUAAACACAUUUUUUCCCUUUCAUUCCUCCUAAGCUAGCAAAACUUUUUUCAAAAUUAUUAUAUUUUCUAAUUUAUUUUUCAUUUUGUAUAAAUAUAUUUAUUCGUAUAUGCAUACAAUGUAUCUUUUAUCUGUUUUUUAUAUUGUAAAACUUUAAUAAGUACGUCUAAGAGGUAAAUUUUUUUUCUACAUAAUGCUACGGGCAAUUACUAGUAAGCAAUAAAUAAACAUAAUAUAUCCAAUUUUUUAUUCAUUUAUAUGUUUUUAUUUUUACAAAAAUAUUUAUUUUUUUUAUUUUUUGAUUCCUCUUACUAAAAGAAAUCGUAAGAGUUUUAAAUUUUUCUUAAUGGAAGAAAAAAAUAUUCAAAAAAAUAUUAUAUAUAUUUUUUUAAUCUAGAAUUAGUACCAAUAAAUAAAAGAUGCAUAAAUAAUUACAUGAUUUUUUUGAAUAUCUUGUAUAAUUUUUUUGUUUGUAUAGUAUUUAUCUAGAAAUUAAAAAAUAAAAUACCUUCACUUGAAAGUCAAAGUUCUUUAUGGCUUUCGUCACACCACAUCUGCAUGUUUGCCACGUGGCAACCAUACCAUAAUUUCGACAAUUAAAAAGAGUCAGCUUUUUUUAAUCUCAACCCAAAAUUAUUUAGUGUUAUUAGAAUAAAUGCUAAUGGUACUUUAACAAAUAUGUAUAGAUGAUUAUUUAUUAUAUGAUGCUAAAGCAAUGCUCUAAGGCCAUGUUUGAUAACCGUGGUAAGUAGCGGGAUUAGACUAUCAAUUCGGUGGACCUGUUAAUUCGGUGUUUGGUUUU